UGUGCUCUUACGAUCAGGAGCCUGUGGGCGGUGUUUCACCUAGGAAGAUUGAUGAGAGCAGAGGGGAAGACCCACCAUAAAGCAGGUAAGCCUAGAAGCUUCUUUUGUAUCCCAGGUGUGGCCUUUUCCACGGACCAAGCUGCGAUGCAGUAUUGACCUGACAGAGCCCCCACUCCAGCAGUGUCUGUACUGCAAAACAAAGCCCCCCUGGAAACCAAAAA